rnacentral:rRNA from 1 species
UACGUAGGGGGCUAGCGUUGUCCGGAAUCAUUGGGCGUAAAGAGCGCGUAGGCGGCCAGAUAAGUCCGGUGUGAAAGUCACAGGCUCAACCUGUGAAUGCCGCUGGAAACUGUCUGGCUAGAGUCCGGAAGGGGCGAGUGGAAUUCCUGGUGUAGCGGUGAAAUGCGCAGAUAUCAGGAGGAACACCAAUGGCGAAGGCAGCUCGCUGGAACGGUACUGACGCUGUGGCGCGAAAGCGUGAGGAGCGAACAGG